UACGUAGGGUGCGAGCGUUAAUCGGAAUUACUGGGCGUAAAGCGUGCGCAGGCGGUUUUGUAAGCCAGAUGUGAAAUCCCUCGGCUUAACCGGGGAACUGCGUCUGAUACUGGUUGGCUUGAGUGUGGGAGAGGGAUGCGGAAUUCCAGGUGUAGCGGAUGAAAUGCGUAGAUAUCUGGAGGAACACCGGUGGCGAAGGCGGCAUCCUGGGACCACGACUGACGCUGAGGAGCGAAAGCCAGGGGAGGCAAAACGGG
rnacentral:rRNA from 1 species